UUUAUGUUGAGAUGAAGUUAUUAUUGCUGCGUUCCAGUGCAGCAGCAGCUGUCCCGUUCCUGACUCGGUUUCACUGCAGAUUUCGUUACUCUGUCGCUGCUCAUCACGCUGCUGCUGACGGGGUGCAAUGGAAAGGAAGUAGUCCGGCUCUCGUUUGCAACGCAGGGCGAGCAGUAUAGGGCCAGCUGCAUACAGCAGGUUGAGAAGGAGGACGGGCACCAGAGUCGUGAUGGGAAUCCUGUACAUUUCUGCAGUGCGUGGGUGCAGUGACGCUCCGAUGUGAGACCACUGGCACUGUGGUGGACAAAAGCACAAGAUGUUAUUUUUGUGGCUUUGACUCAACAUUGGAGAAGUUUUUUGUGUCUUACCUGUAAAAUAGCACCUGCAAAAUAUACCGUCCAAUCAAGCAUCCAAGUGCAGCCAGGUGUGCAAAGCCCAUAUGCAAAUGAACCCAGCAUUGGAAGUGCAUGAAAUAGGAGCAGCAACAUCUGGAGAUGAAAAGACACCGUGCAACAAGUAUUAUUUCAAUCUGUGUGUCAACACUACACGCAUUGCCUAUACACACCAGUGCUUUGAUGGCAAAUUAAUGCAGUCCAACUCAAUCUACAGGGGCACUAGCGCUGCCGCAGCAAUGCACUCCUGCUGAAUACAGAUUGGCCCGACUGCAUUGAGUUCACACCAUCAUUCAUACUUACUGAGGCUUUCAAACACAAACAUGGAAGCAUUACCCACAAUUAGACUCUAAACAGAGCCUGUUUGUGUUGCAUAGCACGUGGUGUCUUUCAAGAAAGUUAUAAC